UACGGAGGGGGCUAGCGUUGUUCGGAAUUACUGGGCGUAAAGCGCGCGUAGGCGGACCUGCAAGUCGGGGGUGAAAGCCCGAGGCUCAACCUCGGAACUGCCUUCGAUACUGCGGGUCUCGAGUCCGGGGGAGGUGAGUGGAAUUCCUAGUGUAGAGGUGAAAUUCGUAGAUAUUAGGAAGAACACCAGUGGCGAAGGCGGCUCACUGGCCCGGUACUGACGCUG
rnacentral:rRNA from 1 species